AACGUAGGUUCCGAGCGUUAUCCGGAUUUACUGGGCGUAAAGGCGCAGUUCAGGCGGUUUGGCAAGUCGGGCAUGAAAUCUCUCGGCUCAACCGGGAGAGGUUGUCCGAUACUUCCAGACUUGAGGGCAGUAGAGGUGGUGGAAUUCCGGGUGUAGUGGUGAAAUGCGUAGAUAUCCGGAGGAACACCAGUGGCGAAAGCGGCCACCUGGACUGCACCUGACGCUGACACGCGAAAGCUAGGGGAGCGAACGGG
rnacentral:rRNA from 1 species